GACGAAGGGGGCUAGCGUUGUUCGGAAUUACUGGGCGUAAAGGGCGCGCAGGCGGCCAGACAAGUCAGAUGUGAAAGCCCCGGGCUCAACCUGGGAAUAGCAUUUGGGACUGUUUGGCUAGAGAUCGGGAGAGGAGAGUGGAAUUCCCAGUGUAGAGGUGAAAUUCGUAGAUAUUCGCAAGAACACCAGUGGCGAAGGCGGCCAACUGGACCAACACUGACGCUGAGGCGCGAAAGCGUGGGGAGCAAACAGG
rnacentral:rRNA from 1 species